rnacentral:tRNA from 1 species
AAAACUGAAGUAAUUUUUACAUUUGGCUUCGGCCCAAAAUACGGUCAAACCCCUGUUUUA